AGCCUGCAGCCACAGACGCCCGACCUAGGCGGCCACAGAACAGGCCAUGGGAGAAGCCAGGAGCCAACUGGGAAAUGAGCAGAAGGAAGCGGGAAGGGUGCCUUCGCCAGCCACCUCGGCACCCGCAAGGGCAGGGUGCCCGGCUGGAAGCCAGCAGACGGCCCCCGGCCGGAGCUACGGCGCGCGUCGUCCGUGAGGGACGGGCCGCAGCUCCACAAGCUCUCGAUGCGAUCGGCCGCUUCCGCCUUCCGGCUCCGCCCCCGGCCGCCUUCCCGCCGCUCUGGCUGCCCGGAGGAAGAAGCCGACAGCCGCCUCGCGUGUAACCCUCGACGCUUAACGGAAAGUCACCUCAGAAACGACCCUCCCAGUACCCGUCGGUCCCCGGGAGGCUGGUCCCGAUGUUCCAGAGGUUCCUGUGCGGGUCUGUAGCUUAUAGCGUGAUGUUUACUUCAUGUCCUUGUCUCCUUUGGGUGGACGAGACUAGUGCAGGGCACGAGCCUUCGCUCGAGUUCUCCGUUCUUGUUGGAUGGACAAAUGUUGGUGAAUUUGCGCGGCCUGGAACGCGGACAGGCUGGCUGUGGCCCAGUGGUUCCUCCUUCGGCUCUCGGCAGCUCCGGGACAAAGGCUUUCUGCUGCCCACACAACACUAAGGGGAUGCACAGGGCUCGGACUGCACUGGGACUUCCCCCAAAUCGGAGAAAAUGGCUGUUUAUAGUGAUUCAAAGAGAGGUCCAGAGAAAGGGCAACUGCACUCUUAUGUAAAUAUAAAUAUGUAUACCCACAGGGUUUCUAAGCUGUUCUUGUCUCUAUACGUUUGUGUGCACCUUAGUGGUUUGUUUCCAGGGGCUGCCUUGAACUUGAAAGCUAAGACCUUUCUUGCCCUAGGCACUAGCAUUUAGUUGAUGUAAGGCUAAAAAUGGGUAAUAGUUACCACUUAGGCAGUCUCCAGCUUAUAUAAGCCAUUAAAAUAGCGUCAAAUGAAAGUUAUCCAUACUGUGAAACGACUAAAAUGUUAACACCCAUAGGAAUUAUUUUUAAAAAUUACUUCACCCAGUUGGCAGUGAUCCCCACCGUAUACCCCUUAACUGUUCAGGGUUAAAUAAAAAGCUGUUAAGACUUAACAGCCCCUUCAGUGCUGCUGAACAGUGGAACUCAAGGCAACAACCAACUCAUUUUGGUAAAUGACCUCAAAAAAUUACUUUUAAGACCUAAAUUUAACACUAAUAAUAAAAGCAUUUGGCUUCAUUGCCAAACACACAAGAGAGGUUUUUCUGGGCUGUGGCUAGUACUUUGAGGAAUAGAAUUAGUGGUACAGUUGCAAAUUAUUUUUCAGGAACCCUGGUAAAAAUUUUCGGUGUUUUAUUAGGAUGCUGCUGUGUAAGGCAGAGCUUUGAACCCCAAAAAAACAUUCAGGCCCCAGCUCCCAGCAAUGAACUGUCAUUUUAGGAAAUUGACUUAACAAGUCUGUUUUCUCACCUGUGUUGUGGAAAUGAUUAACCCCCUCCUAUCUAUGAGAACUGAUGAAAUACUGAGACCCUUCUAAGACCUAAAUGCUGUCAGGACAGGCAGCACUUCAACUACAGAGUUCACACAAAACUUAAUGAGGAAAGGGAUUCUCUUGUAUCCCAUACUCCAUCCACAUCUGAAGAGUAAACACCAUCUCCAUUAUUACGCCAUGCAUCAUCACAGCCUACGGCCGCUCUAAGUGCAGGUAACCAAUUUUAAGCAGCAGUAAGGACGACUAUCACAAACAAAAGCUUCACUUUUCUUCAAAACUAGUUGUACCUCAGGCUGGGCAUCUCUGACCUUUUCUUUGGCAAAGAAAAGUCCAUGAUUUUCUUCUAAAGCUUAAAAAUAAAAUGGCACAAAGAAGGUGAGUAGACGGAUGCAUGUGUGUGAGUAGGGGAGAAGACUCCACUAACAGGGUGCCAGCAAUGACAACUCCCAUGUGCUAUUCAUUUUGAAACGUCAGUAAAGGACAAAUCAGACUUUGUUUAUUAAAAAAAUACUUUACAGGAAAAAAAAAAACCUAUGCAUUCCAUUGUCCUACUUUACAAAGAAAUAGCUUAACAAUUUAACACACUCAGACAGCUACAAAAAAGCACUGUGUUAAAAGAAUUAUUAUUCACACAAAGUUGAGAUUUAAGACUAUCCAUUAAAAACCUUUUAAAACACUUGUUAAUGUCAAUAAACAAACUAAGGCCACACAAACGCAAAUAGUCCGCCAGGCAAAUUAAACAUUUCAUCUAUAUGCAAAGACCUCUUAGAUAAAUUAAAGCCACAGGAAAAAAGUCUUAGCUGCCGAUCAAAAUGAAGUUUAGUCACAGAAAACACUAUUACAUGAAAAUUUACAACGUGUGAUAGUAUUACAUAAGUAUUUCUUUAGAGAGAAUUGAAAAGUGCUAUAUUUUAAGAGACGGCGGUCUCAACUACAUGCACAAGUGGAUCCUAAAAAAUGUAUGGAGAUUUUUUAAAUGGAAGGCCAUAAUAUUUAUGGAUACUUGCUUUUAAAGCAACAGACUUCCAGGACGAGGAUAAGUCCUUUAUGCACUUAAGAAAAACACUGGUGAUGUGUAUCUCCUCUACUUACAUGACCAGUAAAUACGGCUACAGACUGUCUUGAAACAUGAAACUUAGCACACACAUGAGCCUCUGGCAUGUGCUACUGAAAGGAUGAAACAGAUUUAUUAGAAAAACACAAACUCAGUAAUCCUAAUUAUCUUUAAUAGAUGCAAAUAAAUUUAAAAGGCAAAUACAGAUGAAAAUAUAAUGGGCUAAUAUUAAUGAUAAAGGAUAUAUUCACUAGGAACAUAUUUUCGUGGAUUUUGGAGUCUUGUUCCUAUAUUAACUUUCCUUCUAGACAAUAUUUAUACAGGGAAAAAAGCACUAAGCAAAAGUUUCUCAAGUCAUUAGGUGAGAUCUUUAUGCCUGUUAAGACUGAUACAUCGUUUCCUAAAGUUUAGCAAAUUAUUUAAAUUAGCUCUUUUCCCCAUACAAGAGCUUGUAGUAUUUGUGAACUAAUAGUCCAACUGUUUCUGAGGGUACAGGGCACUUUCCAAAAGUCUUAGAGUAAAAAUCAUGUACCAGUAAAACUGUAAGUACUGAAUAAGCAAAGUACAAUUAAGACUAAGAAUUCAUUUCUCAAGAGUUAAACUUUGGAAGAGGAAACCAAUAUAAAGGUUAUUAUUAUUGCUUCAUGAAUUUGGGACAUCUCUCAGAAUCGUAACCCUAACUCUUAUCCUAUCUUGAUAAUUAUAGAAUGACCUCUGGGACAGGGGAAGACUUAUUCUUUUGAAUGGUUACCAUAAAAUCAUUCUAUUUGCUGUUAGGAAUAUUAAUUUAUUAGGUCCUUUCGAUUAGCAUAUUUUUAAAAUAUCCCUCUGAUCCAUAAACUACUAAAACUUAUAGCCACAUUCUGCAAGUAAUCUCAAGGGCUGGCACAAUAGAUAACAUACCAGAAAGGAAGAUCAGCUUCAAUUUCAGUUACAACUUCACUGCCAUCGCUAUUUUACAAAUCAGAGGAUACCAGACUGUUCCAUGCCUCACUCCACCAACCAAAUAGUUUAAUGAUUUAGAAAACUUGCGAUCAUUUGUAUCACUCAACUAGGACACAGUUUUGAAAGCAGCAAGAAACUCAAAGCUUCUGCUUUUAUGUUCAUCAGUCUUUAAAGCAUGCUAUCAAAAUCUAAUACUCACAUAGGACAUUCAGGAUUCCCAGGUACAUAACUAGCUAAAUGUUUCUUUCCAUUCUAUUGCAAUCUAAUAUACAAUGACUUCAUUAGUACAUGAUUUUCAACAUUUUUAUAUUCUUUUAAUAUGUUUAUACUGGAAGUGAGGGUAGAAUGUUUUGUAAAAGGAAAAUGGAGAUUUGCGUUUGAUUGUAGGUCUUUGCAGAUCCGCUGGUUCCUGAGUGAUUGCACAGUGCUGGCUGUCAGGAGACAGUCUCCUUGUGUAUUAGUAAUGACCAGCUUAGAUGACUGGAUGGCAUCUGCUGGAUGGCAAGUGGGAGAUGGGGAAAUCGGAUCUUGGAAGACAAGAAAAACAAAAUAAAACUUUUUGCGU
rnacentral:lncRNA from 1 species